rnacentral:rRNA from 1 species
CAGUCGCCGCGGUAAUACGAAGGGGGCUAGCGCUGUUCGGAAUUACUGGGCGUAAAGCGCACGUAGGCGGAUAUUUAAGUCAGGGGUGAAAUCCCAGAGCUCAACUCUGGAACUGCCUUUGAUACUGGGUAUCUUGAGUAUGGAAGAGGUGAGUGGAAUUCCGAGUGUAGAGGUGAAAUUCGUAGAUAUUCGGAGGAACACCAGUGGCGAAGGCGGCUCACUGGUCCAUUACUGACGCUGAGGUGCGAAAGCGUGGGGAGCAAACAGGAUUAGAUACCCCAGUAGUCCCUGUCUCUUAUAU